ensembl:ncRNA Y40C5A.18 ncRNA
ACUCCGUGCGCCUGAAAAAUAAUGCUAUGAAGAAGAAUAAAUAUUAGGGAAAAUUUACUGUGUUUGAAGAAUACUCUGCCGGAGCCACUCGAAAUCUGAAAAUGUGAAAGUUAAUUCAAUAGAGGUAUGGUUUUAUUGCUGGCAAAUGGU